UGAGGUGCUUGCACCUUAUCUUAGCGGCGGACGGGUGAGUAAUGCUUAGGAAUCUGCCUAUUAGUGGGGGACAACAUUCCGAAAGGAAUGCUAAUACCGCAUACGCCCUACGGGGGAAAGCAGGGGAUCUUCGGACCUUGCGCUAAUAGAUGAGCCUAAGUCGGAUUAGCUAGUUGGUGGGGUAAAGGCCUACCAAGGCGACGAUCUGUAGCGGGUCUGAGAGGAUGAUCCGCCACACUGGGACUGAGACACGGCCCAGACUCCUACGGGAGGCAGCAGUGGGGAAUAUUGGACAAUGGGCGGAAGCCUGAUCCAGCCAUGCCGCGUGUGUGAAGAAGGCCUUUUGGUUGUAAAGCACUUUAAGCGAGGAGGAGGCUACUUAGAUUAAUACUCUAGGAUAGUGGACGUUACUCGCAGAAUAAGCACCGGCUAACUCUGUGCCAGCAGCCGCGGUAAUACAGAGGGUGCGAGCGUUAAUCGGAUUUACUGGGCGUAAAGCGUGCGUAGGCGGCUGAUUAAGUCGGAUGUGAAAUCCCUGAGCUUAACUUAGGAAUUGCAUUCGAUACUGGUCAGCUAGAGUAUGGGAGAGGAUGGUAGAAUUCCAGGUGUAGCGGUGAAAUGCGUAGAGAUCUGGAGGAAUACCGAUGGCGAAGGCAGCCAUCUGGCCUAAUACUGACGCUGAGGUACGAAAGCAUGGGGAGCAAACAGGAUUAGAUACCCUGGUAGUCCAUGCCGUAAACGAUGUCUACUAGCCGUUGGGGCCUUUGAGGCUUUAGUGGCGCAGCUAACGCGAUAAGUAGACCGCCUGGGGAGUACGGUCGCAAGACUAAAACUCAAAUGAAUUGACGGGGGCCCGCACAAGCGGUGGAGCAUGUGGUUUAAUUCGAUGCAACGCGAAGACCUUUACCUGUCUUGACAUAGU
rnacentral:rRNA from 1 species